CUCUGUGACUUUUCUAUAAUAAUAAUUUCAAGAAUUCAAAUAAAUAUGUGUAUUGUGUGUUAGGAUGCGUGUGAAUAAGAAUGUGUGCGUGAGAGGAUGUGGGACGUUCGGCAUUAUUAAAAAUCAUUCAUGUAAUUCUCUACAGGAACUGGCAAGUGUUCCAACUCUGUAACGUGGGAACGAAUUCACUAGUUGUUCCCCUACUAGUGAGUGUCGGAUGUCCAAGUAUGUAUGCUUAUGUAUAAGACAGCCAGAACAUUCGCGACUACAUAAUAAAUUUCCAGAUGUAAAGUAAAGCUUAUAGUUCAUUUUGUUUUGUUUAUUUAAUUAGAGACUUUUGUGUUACUUAAUUUGAUGACGUUAAUGAGCCUAGAGAAGUGGUUUGUGCUUGCUAGAUUUUGGCGCGAGCCGCGCCCUAGAAGUGAGUUCUCAUUCGUCGUAAGUGCUGAUAGCCAAUGAGAAGCGAGACGGUUGGCCGCCUAGCGAGGAGAUAUAGUUUUGAGUGUGGGAGAGUGAGAAAGGAGUCACGAGCUACCUUUGAUUGGGGGCGGUAUGCUGGAUGUGACUUUUCGUAUUAUGUGCAAGAUGAAGUCCUGGGAUGACUUCUGCGUUAUGGUCCAGUGUUAAUGGUAUCUGGUGGUGACCAGAAACUGUUUAUGAAAACUUUAGAGUGUUUUGAUAAUUCGUUCCGAUGAAAAUCGCGAGUGAACUUUGAAUUAUAUAGCGUGGCGGUACUGAGUAUUUUAUGGCGAGCAUAAACUUUUGCUAAAGACAACCACUGAAUAUCGUGUGCAGAAGUAAUUGGCCGAUCAUUGACUGUGUUACAAGUAAUUGGUUUCGGAACUUGGGAAGGUAAAAGUUCUGGCUGUUUUAGGUAUGGUGAUAACUGUGAGCAGAAACUUUAGUAAUUUUCAUAAAUGUGGGCUGAUGAUCUUGUUUUACGGCAAUAAAGAUCUACUGAAGGUUUAAA